rnacentral:rRNA from 1 species
AAUAGAUACCCGGGUAGUCCACGCCGUAAACGUUGGGUACUAGGUGUGGCGUCCCGAUCAACGGAUGCCGUGCCGAAGCUAACGCAUUAAGUACCCCGCCUGGGGAGUACGGCCGCAAGGCUAAAACUCAAAGGAAUUGACGGGUCCCCGCACAAGCGGCGGAGCAUGCGGCUUAAUUCGAUGCAACCCGAAGAACCUUACCUGGGCUUGACAUCACGGGAAAAGCCGUAGAAAUACGGUGUCCGUAAGGGCCCGUGACAGGUGGUGCAUGGCUGUCGUCAGCUCGUGUCGUGAGAUGUUGGGUUAAGUCCCGCAACGAGCGCAACCCUUGUCCUAUGUUGCCAGCACGUAAUGGUGGGGACUCAUAGGAGACUGCCGGGGACAACUCGGAGGAAGGUGAGGACGACGUCAAGUCAUCAUGCCCCUUAUGCCCAGGGCUGCACGCAUGCUACAAUGGCCGGUACAAUGGGCUGCGAACCCGCGAGGGGAGCUAAUCCUCAAAGCCGGCCUCAGUUCGGAUUGGAGUCUGCAACUCGACUCC